rnacentral:rRNA from 1 species
CGGGGGAUCGCAAGACCUCGCGCGAUUGGAGCGGCCGAUAUCAGAUUAGGUAGUUGGUGAGGUAAAGGCUCACCAAGCCGACGAUCUGUAGCUGGUCUGAGAGGACGACCAGCCACACUGGGACUGAGACACGGCCCAGACUCCUACGGGAGGCAGCAGUGGGGAAUUUUGGACAAUGGGCGCAAGCCUGAUCCAGCAAUGCCGCGUGCAGGAUGAAGGCCUUCGGGUUGUAAACUGCUUUGUACGGAACGAAACGGUGAGCUCUAAUACAGUUUGCUAAUGACGGUACCGUAAGAAUAAGCACCGGCUAACUACGUG